GACGAACGCUGGCGGCGUGCCUAAUACAUGCAAGUCGAACGCUUCUUUCCUCCCGAGUGCUUGCACUCAAUUGGAAAGAGGAGUGGCGGACGGGUGAGUAACACGUGGGUAACCUACCCAUCAGAGGGGGAUAACACUUGGAAACAGGUGCUAAUACCGCAUAACAGUUUAUGCCGCAUGGCAUAAGGGUGAAAGGCGCUUUCGGGUGUCGCUGAUGGAUGGACCCGCGGUGCAUUAGCUAGUUGGUGAGGUAACGGCUCACCAAGGCCACGAUGCAUAGCCGACCUGAGAGGGUGAUCGGCCACACUGGGACUGAGACACGGCCCAGACUCCUACGGGAGGCAGCAGUAGGGAAUCUUCGGCAAUGGACGAAAGUCUGACCGAGCAACGCCGCGUGAGUGAAGAAGGUUUUCGGAUCGUAAAACUCUGUUGUUAGAGAAGAACAAGGACGUUAGUAACUGAACGUCCCCUGACGGUAUCUAACCAGAAAGCCACGGCUAACUACGUG
rnacentral:rRNA from 1 species